rnacentral:tRNA from 1 species
GCGUCUUUGGCUGAGUGACCCAAGCGGCUAGCUGUUAACUAGCAUUACAGUGGUUUGAUUCCACUAGGACGCGCCA